rnacentral:rRNA from 1 species
GUUGAACGGCCACAUUGGGACUGAGACACGGCCCAGACUCCUACGGGAGGCAGCAGUGGGGAAUAUUGCACAAUGGGGGAAACCCUGAUGCAGCGACGCCGCGUGUAGGAAGAAGGUCUUCGGAUUGUAAACUCCUGUUGUUGAGGAAGAUAAUGACGGUACUCAACAAGGAAGUGACGGCUAACUACGUGCCAGCAGCCGCGGUAAAACGUAGGUCACAAGCGUUGUCCGGAAUUACUGGGUGUAAAGGGAGCGCAGGCGGGAAGACAAGUUGGAAGUGAAAUCCAUGGGCUCAACCCAUGAACUGCUUUCAAAACUGUUUUUCUUGAGUAGUGCAGAGGUAGGCGGAAUUCCCGGUGUAGCGGUGGAAUGCGUAGAUAUCGGGAGGAACACCAGUGGCGAAGGCGGCCUACUGGGCACCAACUGACGCUGAGGCUCGAAAGUGUGGGUAGCAAACAGGAUUAGAUACCCUGGUAGUCCACACCGUAAACGAUGAUUACUAGGUGUUGGAGGAUUGAUCCCUUCAGUGCCGCAGUUAACACAAUAAGUAAUCCACCUGGGGAGUACGACCGCAAGGUUGAAACUCAAAGGAAUUGACGGGGGCCCGCACAAGCAGUGGAGUAUGUGGUUUAAUUCGACGCAACGCGAAGAACCUUACCAAGUCUUGACAUCCUGCGACGGACAUAGAAAUAUGUUUUUCCUUCGGGACGCAGAGACAGGUGGUGCAUGGUUGUCGUCAGCUCGUGUCGUGAGAUGUUGGGUUAAGUCCCGCAACGAGCGCAACCCUUAUGGUCAGUUACUACGCAAGAGGACUCUGGCCAGACUGCCGUUGACAAAACGGAGGAAGGUGGGGAUGACGUCAAAUCAUCAUGCCCUUUAUGACUUGGGCUACACACGUACUACAAUGGCGUUAAACAAAGAGAAGCAAGACCGCGAGGUGGAGCAAAACUCAGAAACAACGUCCCAGUUCGGACUGCAGGCUGCAACUCGCCUGCACGAAGUCGGAAUUGCUAGUAAUCGUGGAUCAGCAUGCCACGGUGAAUACGUUCCCGGGCCUUGUACACACCGCCCGUCACACCAUGAGAGCCGGGGGGACCCGAAGUCGGUAGUCUAACCGCAAGGAGGACGCCGCCGAAGGUAAAACUGGUGAUUGGGGUGAAGUCGUAACAAGGUAG